AGUGAACGCUGGCGGUAGGCCUAACACAUGCAAGUCGAACGGCAGCACAGUAAGAGCUUGCUCUUACGGGUGGCGAGUGGCGGACGGGUGAGGAAUACAUCGGAAUCUACUUUUUCGUGGGGGAUAACGUAGGGAAACUUACGCUAAUACCGCAUACGACCUACGGGUGAAAGCAGGGGAUCUUCGGACCUUGCGCGAUUGAAUGAGCCGAUGUCGGAUUAGCUAGUUGGCGGGGUAAAGGCCCACCAAGGCGACGAUCCGUAGCUGGUCUGAGAGGAUGAUCAGCCACACUGGAACUGAGACACGGUCCAGACUCCUACGGGAGGCAGCAGUGGGGAAUAUUGGACAAUGGGCGCAAGCCUGAUCCAGCCAUACCGCGUGGGUGAAGAAGGCCUUCGGGUUGUAAAGCCCUUUUGUUGGGGAAGAAAAGCAGCAGGUUAAUACCCCGCUGUUCUGACGGUACCCAAAGAAUAGGCACCGGCUAACUUCGUG
rnacentral:rRNA from 1 species